UACGUCGGGUGCAAGCGUUAUCCGGAUUCACUGGGUUUAAAGGGUGCGUAGGCGGGCAGAUAAGUCAGUGGUGAAAUCUCCGAGCUUAACUCGGAAACUGCCGUUGAUACUAUUUGUCUUGAAUACUGUGGAGGUAAGCGGAAUAUGUCAUGUAGCGGUGAAAUGCUUAGAUAUGACAGAGAACAACAAUUGCGAAGGCAGCUUACUAAACAGCGAUUGACGCUGAGGCACGAAAGCGGGGGGAUCAAACAGG
rnacentral:rRNA from 1 species